ACAUGAGGAACAACACUGUCUGUUAUUGUACACAAAUUGACAAGACAGAGAAGUCCUAUUUGAUAACAAAUUUGCAAAAGGAAGUUUGAGAGCACCUGUUGAAAUUAAUUAGAACACCUGGCUUAAGCCCCAUAAAUUCACUGGACACCACAGACAAGUGGAGAUCUCAGGAUUCAGUCCCAGUUACCUCAUAGAAGGAAAUGCAGUUCCAGUGAAUGAAGAGGUUUAAUUAUUAGUGAACACCUGCACCAAGAUUCCGGUCUGUUGAGAGACAGCCAGUGAGAGCGGGAACACAAGC